rnacentral:lncRNA from 1 species
UCAUACAUGUAGAAGAGGUAAAUGGAUAGAUGAACUUUAAAAUAUAUGAUGCUGUCUGCAUGCACCGUAUAACUAACAGCUCGAAACUCAGGAGUAAAAGCAAAAUGAUUAUGAUUGAGUAAUAAAAGUCAGGUCUAUAGAUAAUACUUAGAUAGAAGGUAGAGAGACACCAAGAUAGACACCAAGGUAGAUGACAAACAGAUAAGCAUAC